rnacentral:antisense_RNA from 1 species
GUUCUGGGCUUCUGGCUGCAUUCUAGGAAGAUCAUUCCUUAAAAGAAAUAGCCAUAUGGCUUAUAAGACGUGGAAUAAACUUGACAAAUGCUAAAGAUGCUCUUUGAUUUUUGUGUGGCAUGAGACCUCAGGCUGAAACUUCUCAUCUGAGCCAUUGAGGGGAGCCUCUCAUCUCUCCACCGAGAGGGGGAGACCAGAAUGGUUCCUUCAGGCACAUUCUGUUGGGCUUCCCUCUACCUCCCCACUCUGCUGCUUUCCAGCUCUUUUUGAAUUUCUCCCUGCUGAGGAGAGGGAAGACCAGCUAGGAGCUCUGUUUCUGGCAGGAAUCUGACACCACUUAAUCCUUGGGUAGAAACUCCCCCAAGUCUGAACUAUGUGAUUGCCUGAGCCCUGCUCCUUGUUCAUUAAGACUGCUCCUCUGAAAUGGAAUUGAUGAAUUUUCAGUGGCUAUUUGAAGCAUUUGGGAUCCAUAGGCAUCAGGGCUUGAUGCAUGGCCCUCAUCUCUGUGGGCUCC